AUUGAACGCUGGCGGCAGGCCUAACACAUGCAAGUCGAGCGGUAGAGAGGUGCUUGCAUCUCUUGAGAGCGGCGGACGGGUGAGUAAUGCCUAGGAAUCUGCCUAGUGGUGGGGGAUAACGUUCGGAAACGGACGCUAAUACCGCAUACGUCCUACGGGAGAAAGCGGGGGAUCUUCGGACCUCGCGCCAUUAGAUGAGCCUAGGUCGGAUUAGCUAGUUGGUGAGGUAAUGGCUCACCAAGCCGACGAUCUGUAGCUGGUCUGAGAGGACGACCAGCCACACUGGGACUGAGACACGGCCCAGACUCCUACGGGAGGCAGCAGUGGGGAAUUUUGGACAAUGGGCGCAAGCCUGAUCCAGCAAUGCCGCGUGCAGGAUGAAGGCCUUCGGUUGUAACUAGCUUUGUUACGGUAACGAAACGGUAGAG
rnacentral:rRNA from 1 species